UACGUAGGACCCAAGCGUUGUCCGGAUUUACUGGGUGUAAAGGGCGUGUAGGUGGGCGCUUAAGUCGAUGGUGAAAUCCUGCGGCUCAACCGUAGAAUUGCCGUCGAUACUGGGCGUCUUGAGUACGGCAGAGGGGGAUGGAAUUCAUGGUGUAGCGGUGAAAUGUGUAGAUAUCAUGAAGAACACCGGUAGCGAAGGCGGUCUCCUGGUCCGUUACUGACACUGAGGCGCGAAAGCGUGGGGAGCAAACAG
rnacentral:rRNA from 1 species